rnacentral:rRNA from 1 species
UACGGAGGGUGCAAACGUUGCUCGGAAUCAUUGGGCGUAAAGCGCACGUAGGCGGUCAAGCAAGUCGGGUGUGAAAGCCCUCGGCUUAACCGAGGAAGUGCAUUCGAAACUACUGGACUUGAGUACUGAAGAGGAUCGCGGAAUUCCCGGUGUAGAGGUGAAAUUCGUAGAUAUUGGGAAGAACACCGGUGGCGAAGGCGGCGACCUGGUCCGAUACUGACGCUGAGGCGCGAAAGCGUGGGGAGCAAACAGG